rnacentral:rRNA from 1 species
UACGUAGGGGGCAAGCGUUGUCCGGAUUUAUUGGGCGUAAAGAGCGUGUAGGCGGUCAGGUAGGUCCGUUGUGAAAACUCGAGGCUCAACCUCGAGACGCCGAUGGAAACCCCCUGGCUAGAGUCCGGAAGAGGAGAAUGGAAUUCCUGGUGUAGCGGUGAAAUGCGCAGAUAUCAGGAAGAACACCAGUGGCUAAGGCGGUUCUCUAGUACGGUACUGACGCUGAGACGCGAAAGCGUGGGGAGCGAACAGG